rnacentral:rRNA from 1 species
CCUACGGGAGGCAGCAGUGGGGAAUAUUGGGCAAUGGACGCAAGUCUGACCCAGCAACGCCGCGUGAAGGAAGAAGGCUUUCGGGUUGUAAACUUCUUUUAAGGGGGAAGAGCAGAAGACGGUACCCCUUGAAUAAGCCACGGCUAACUACGUGCCAGCAGCCGCGGUAAUACGUAGGUGGCAAGCGUUGUCCGGAUUUACUGGGUGUAAAGGGCGUGCAGCCGGAGAGACAAGUCAGAUGUGAAAUCCACGGGCUCAACCCGUGAACUGCAUUUGAAACUGUUUCCCUUGAGUGUCGGAGAGGUAAUCGGAAUUCCUUGUGUAGCGGUGAAAUGCGUAGAUAUAAGGAAGAACACCAGUGGCGAAGGCGGAUUACUGGACGAUAACUGACGGUGAGGCGCGAAAGCGUGGGGAGCAAACAGGAUUAGAUACCCCAGUAGUC